rnacentral:rRNA from 1 species
AACGAACGCUGGCGGCAGGCUUAACACAUGCAAGUCGAGCGCCCCGCAAGGGGAGCGGCAGACGGGUGAGUAACGCGUGGGAAUCUACCCAUCUCUACGGAAUAACGCAUGGAAACGUGUGCUAAUACCGUAUACGUCCUUCGGGAGAAAGAUUUAUCGGAGAUGGAUGAGCCCGCGUUGGAUUAGCUAGUUGGGGGGGUAAAGGCCUACCAAGGCGACGAUCCAUAGCUGGGCUGAGAGGAUGAUCAGCCACACUGGGACUGGGACACGGCCCAGACUACUACGGGAGGCAGCAGUGGGGAAUAUUGGACAAUGGGCGCAAGCCUGAUCCAGCCAUGCCGCGUGAGCGAUGAAGGCCCUAGGGUUGUAAAGCUCUUUCACCGGUGAAGAUAAUGACGGUAACCGGAGAAGAAGCCCCGGCUAACUUCGUGCCAGCCGCCGCCGUAAUAC